rnacentral:rRNA from 1 species
AAACCAGCACCUCAAGUGGUCAGGAGGAUUAUUGGGCCUAAAGCAUCCGUAGCCUGCUCUGUAAGUUUCCGGUUAAAUCCAUUAGCUCAACUAAUGGCCUGCCGGAAAUACUGUAGAGCUAGGAAGUGGGAGAGGUAGACGGUACUCGGUAGGAAGGGGUAAAAUCCUUUGAUCUAUUGAGGACCACCUGUGGCGAAGGCGGUCUACCAGAACACGUUCGACGGUGAGGGAUGAAAGCUGGGGGAGCAAACCGGAUUAGAAACCCUAGUAGUCC